AAAACAUUUGUCUACCUCAGGUACCACAGGUACCUUCACCAAACCACAGGUUUCUUCACCAAACUGUUCUUUUAUGCCUCAGUUCUGAAGCAGAACAAUUCUGAAGCCCGCACUUGGGUGAUCUUUGUUCUAAGAACACAGCUGUCACAACAGGGGCAUUUCAGCAGGCACACAUUCAGCAGGCACAGAAUUCACUGGAGAGAGGACCAUGGAUGGGCAACAAGCCUUGCAGAAUGCCCAGGCAAACCACCCCACCUUCCUGGCUCCAUGCUGCACACUGCACCCAUUCUGUGCGUCGCUGUGAUCUACCUGCCAGCAGAGCUGUACAAACGCAUCCUUCUGCAGCCACUGAUUUACAGCAGGAUGGAGAGUCAAGGAGGGAUCCCUGAAGGACAAACCUGCACUCUCAGCACUGCUGUCCUCUCUGAAAGCACUCAGCCCACACACACUGCCUUCUGCUUUUCCGGUUUUCCUGUAGGCAUCCACAUGCAGGACGGUGAGAGGUUUGUCGCAGGGAGACUGUAGGGCAAAAGUGCUUCAUUUUCACAUUCUGUUCAGCUGAUUGUUUGCUGCUCUCCCACCU
rnacentral:lncRNA from 1 species